rnacentral:lncRNA from 1 species
GGGGUUUACUUAUGUUUGACUAUAAUUAAUGGGGCGGAUUGAAAUUAAUCAAACGUUAGAAAAAAGAAUGGGCCUUAGUCAGGCCCAAUUAUUACAGAUUGAGCGAUGCGGCCUUCGUCCGUCAUCAGGCCCAAUUUGAGUUUCAGAUUAAGCAACUCGGACUUGGACAUUGUACUUCGUCCGUCAUCACAUCCUGUUGAAUCUCAUUGAUUUUUUUAACCUAAAACAGCGUUAAAUAAAUAAUGAGAAAAUUAAAACAAUAGAUAAAUAAAAUAAAAAAAUAUCUUUAGCGCGUGUCAGGUGUCACAGAGACACAGACACAGGGUCACAAAGCUUGUUACCUGUUUGCACUAACAAACCUGCGAGCAAUGCAAGAUUGUUAGAUUAACGUCCAUCCUUCCCGCCGUCCAAAAUGCCGUCAGAUUUAACGGCGAAGCAAUCUUCAUCAAGUUCGUCCCGUCCAAUCCAAUCUCAAUCUCCG